CUACGGGCGGCAGCAGUGGGGAAUAUUGGACAAUGGGGGCAACCCUGAUCCAGCAAUGCCGCGUGAGUGAAGAAGGCCCUAGGGUUGUAAAGCUCUUUCAACUGUGAAGAUGAUGACUGUAACAGUACAAGAAGCACCGGCUAACUCCGUGCCAGCAGCCGCGGUAAUACGGAGGGUGCAAGCGUUGUUCGGAAUUACUGGGCGUAAAGGGCGCGUAGGCGGCCUUGUAAGUUAGAAGUGAAAGCCCCGGGCUCAACCUGGGAAUAGCUUUUAAGACUGCAGGGCUUGAGGACGAGAGAGGAAAGUGGAAUUCCUAGUGUAGAGGUGAAAUUCGUAGAUAUUAGGAAGAAUACCGGUGGCGAAGGCGGCUUUCUGGCUCGUAACUGACGCUGAGGCGCGAAAGCGUGGGGAGCAAACAGGAUUAGAUACCCGUGUAGUC
rnacentral:rRNA from 1 species